rnacentral:rRNA from 1 species
AGAAUCAACGCUGGCGGCGUGCCUAACACAUGCAAGUCGAACGGGAAAGUGGAGCAAUCCAUGAGUAUAGUGGCGACCGGGUGAGUAACACGUGACUAACCUACCCUUGAGUGGGGGAUAACCUCGGGAAACCGGGCUAAUACCGCAUAACAUCUUCGGGAUGAGGAGCUGAAGAUCAAAGGAGCAAGUUCGCUUUCGGAGGGGGUCGUCGGCUGAUUAGCUAGUUGGCGGGUAACGCCCACCAAGGCUUUGAUCGGUA